rnacentral:rRNA from 1 species
UACGUAGGGUGCAAGCGUUAAUCGGAAUUACUGGGCGUAAAGCGUGCGCAGGCGGUGAUGUAAGACAGAUGUGAAAUCCCCGGGCUCAACCUGGGAACUGCAUUUGUGACUGCAUCGCUGGAGUGCGGCAGAGGGGGAUGGAAUUCCGCGUGUAGCAGUGAAAUGCGUAGAUAUGCGGAGGAACACCGAUGGCGAAGGCAAUCCCCUGGGCCUGCACUGACGCUCAUGCACGAAAGCGUGGAGAGCAAACAGG